GAUGAACGCUGGCGGCGUGCCUAAUACAUGCAAGUCGAGCGAACAGACGAGGAGCUUGCUCCUCUAACGUUAGCGGCGGACGGGUGAGUAACACGUGGAUAACCUACUUAUAAGACUGGGAUAACUUCGGGAAACCGGAGCUAAUAACGGAUCAUAUAUUGAACCGCAUGGUUCAAUAGUGAAAGACGGUUUUGCUGUCACUUAUAGAUGGAUCCGCGCCGCAUUAGCUAGUUGGUAAGGUAACAGCUUACCAAGGCAACGAUGCGUAGCCGACCUGAGAGGGUGAACGGCCACACUGGAACUGAAACACGGUCCAGACUCCUACGGGAAGCAGCAGUAGGGAAUCUUCCGCAAUGGGCGAAAGCCUGACGGAGCAACGCCGCGUGGGUGAUGAAGGUCUUCGGAUCUUAAAACUCUGUUAUUAGGGAAGAACAAAUGUGUAAGUAACAAUGCACUUCUUGACGGUACCUAAUCAGAAAGCCACGGCUAACUACGUG
rnacentral:rRNA from 1 species